rnacentral:ncRNA from 1 species
AAAAGACUUAGUCCUAACCUUACUGUUAGUUUUUGCUAGGUAUAUACAUGCAAGUAUCCGCGCUCCAGUGUAGAAGCCCUGGACACCUUUACUAGGNCAGAUAGGAGCGGGUAUCAGGCUCACNCACAACCGUAGCCCAAAACGCCUUGCAAUUGCCACGCCCCCACGGGUAUUCAGCAGUAGUUAAUAUUAAGCAAUGAGCGCAAGCUUGACUUAGCCAUAGCAAAUCUAGGGUUGGUAAAUCCUGUGCCAGCCACCGCGNUCNUACAGGAGACCNNNNUUAACNUUAUANCGGCGUANNGUGUGNNANNAUGCUAUCCAAGUAACUAAGAUUAAAAAGCAACUGAGCUGUCACAAGCCCAAGAUGCCAAUAAGGCCACUUUAUCAAAGAAAAUCUUAGAGCAACGAUUAAUUGAAGUCCACGAAAGCCAGGGCCCAAACUGGGAUUAGAUACCCCACUAUGCCUGGCCCUAAAUCUUGAUGCUUACCCCUACUAAAGCAUCCGCCCGAGAACUACGAGCACCAACGCUUAAAACUCUAAGGACUUGGCGGUGCCCCACACCCACCUAGAGGAGCCUGUUCUGUAAUCGAUGAUCCACGAUAUACCUGACCAUUCCUUGCCAAAANNCAGCCUACAUACCGCCGUCGCCAGCCCACCUCCCCUGAAAGCCCAACAGUGGACGCAAUAGCCCCANCCACGCUAACAAGACAGGUCAAGGUAUAGCCUAUGGAAUGGUAGUAAUGGGCUACAUUUUCUAGAUUAGAACACACGGCAAAGGGGCCUGAAACGACCCCUGGAAGGCGGAUUUAGCAGUAAAGUGGGACANUNGAGCCCUCUUUAAGCCGGCCCUGGGNCACGUACACACCGCCCCCCCCCCCCCCCCGCGGCCCCCCCCCCCCCCCCCCAUACAUUAAUAAGCUAUUCAGCCAAAGAUGAGGUAAGUCGUAACAAGGUAAGUGUACCGGAAGGUGCACUUAGACUACC